GAUGUGGCUCAGUGGUAGAGUGCUCGCUUAGCAUGUGUGAGGAACUGGGUUUGAUCCCCAGCAUC
rnacentral:tRNA from 1 species